AUACGUAGGUGACAAGCGUUAUCCGGAUUUACUGGGCGUAAAGGGCGUGUAGGCGGUCUUGCAAGUCAGAAGUGAAAUUCCUGAGCUCAACUCGGGCGCUGCCUCUGAAACUGCAGGACUUGAGUGCUGGAGGGGAUAGCGGAAUUCCUAGUGGAGCGGUAAAAUGCGCAGAUAUUAGGAAGAACACCGGUGGCGAAGGCGGCUAUCUGGACAGUAACUGACGCUGAGGCGCGAAAGCGUGGGGAGCAAACAGGAUUAGAUACCCUGGUAGUCCACGCUGUAAACGAUGAAUACUAGGUGUAGGGGGUAUCGACUCCCUCUGUGCCGCAGUUAACACAAUAAGUAUUCCGCCUGGGGAGUACGGCCGCAAGGUUGAAACUCAAAUGAAUUGACGGGG
rnacentral:rRNA from 1 species